GACAGAGGAUGCGAGCGUUAUCCAGAAUGAUUGGGCGUAAAGCGUCUGUAGGUGGCUUUUCAAGUCCGCCGUCAAAUCCCAGGGCUCAACCCUGGACAGGCGGUGGAAACUACCAAGCUGGAGUACGGUAGGGGCAGAGGGAAUUUCCGGUGGAGCGGUGAAAUGCAUUGAGAUCGGAAAGAACACCAACAGCGAAAGCACUCUGCUGGGCCGACACUGACAUUGAGAGAUGAAAGCUAGGGGAGCAAAUGGG
rnacentral:rRNA from 1 species